UAAGUUAGUGGCCGAAACAUUUUGAACUAACGCCUCUUUCUUCUUGAAUCUCUGCCCUAGUUUCCUCUCUGGCCUCUGCCCUCAUACUUUCGCCUCUGCUGCUCUGCGCCUCUUUCAUCAUCAUCUUCUUCUUCUCUCUGCGCCUCUGCCGCUACUAAGGCUGAUUCUUCGCCUACCCUCAGAUUUCCCUCGCUACCCUCAAAUUUCCACAUCUCCCUCAUCUCAGCUGCCGCCUGCCCUCAAAUUUCCACGGUGAGUUUUCAGAUUUGGAGCAACUCUCUCUCAAAAUAGCGACAAGAUUUUCAGUUUGGGGUUGACGAACUGAUUGAGUUGUGUAGGAAACAUGCUGAUGUGGAGGCAGAUUUGUCUUCCAAGCUUACAAAUGCUCAGAGACAAUUCGAUGAAUGUUCUAGCUCUUUAAAAUGGAACAAGGAUCGGGUGGUGGGGCUUGAAAUGAAGCUAACCUCAUUGCAGGAGGAGUUACGAUCAACGAAAGAGGUGGCUGCAGCAAACGAGGAGCAACUCUCAGGCAAACAAACUUGUGGAUCUAUACAAGGAAAGUUCUGAGGAAUGGUCCAAAAAGGCACGAGACCUUGAAGGCGUGAUCAAAGCCUUGGAGACACAUCUUAGUCAAGUUCAGAAUGAUUACAACGAAAGACUUGAAAAGGAAGUAUCUGCAAGGCAUCAAUUUAAAAAGAUGGAUUCAAAGUACUUAAUCAAGAUAUGGAUGAGCUCAUCAACAAUGUGGUUGAUCUUAACAUACAUGAAGAAAAAACUGUCAACCAAGCUGCUAACUCCGGAUGCGCUUGAAUUUGAUUUUUAUUUUGGUUGUGUAAUGUUUUUUUUUUUAUUUGCUUCAUUUGAACUAUGUGGUUGUUAGGACUUUGUUAUGUAGGUUUCAUUUCAUGUGAUGUUUUCUUUUGUAUGCAUUUAAACUUUGUUGUUGUUAGAACUUUACAAAAUGGAUUGAAAUCUAUAAU